rnacentral:rRNA from 1 species
AGUGAACGCUGGCGGUAGGCCUAACACAUGCAAGUCGAACGGCAGCACAGUAAGAGCUUGCUCUUACGGGUGGCGAGUGGCGGACGGGUGAGGAAUACAUCGGAAUCUACUUUUUCGUGGGGGACAACGUAGGGAAACUUACGCUAAUACCGCAUACGACCUACGGGUGAAAGCAGGGGAUCUUCCGACCUUGCGCGAUCGAAUGAGCCGAUGUCGGAUUAGCUAGUUGGCGGGGUAAAGGCCCACCAAGGCGACGAUCCGUAGCUGGUCUGAGAGGAUGAUCAGCCACACUGGAACUGAGACACGGUCCAGACUCCUACGGGAGGCAGCAGUGGGGAAUAUUGGACAAUGGGCGCAAGCCUGAUCCAGCCAUACCGCGUGGGUGAAGAAGGCCUUCGGGUUGUAAAGCCCUUUUGUUGGGAAAGAAAAGCAGCAGGUUAAUACCCCGCUGUUCUGACGGUACCCAAAGAAUAAGCACCGGCUAACUUCGUG